CCCUUAGAUGUUCUGGGCCGCACGCGCGCUACACUGAUGCAUGCAACGAGUUCUAUCCUUGGCCGGAAGGCCUGGGUAAUCUGUGAACGUGCAUCGUGAUAGGGAUAGAUUAUUGCAAUUAUUAAUCUUGAACGAGGAAUUCCUAGUAAACGCAAGUCAUCAGCUUGCAUUGAUUACGUCCCUGCCCUUUGUACACACCGCCCGUCGCACCUACCGAUUGAAUGGUCCGGUGAAGCGUUCGGACCGUGGCCUUUGGACGGUUCGCCGUCUGUUGGCUGCGGGAAGUUCGUUAAACCUUAUCAUUUAGAGGAAGGAGAAGUCGUAACA
rnacentral:rRNA from 1 species